GUGACCUACGGGGCGCAGCAGUGAGGAAUAUUGGUCAAUGGCCGAGAGGCUGAACCAGCCAAGUCGCGUGAGGGAAGAAUGUCCUAUGGAUUGUAAACCUCUUUUGUCAGGGAGCAAAGUCACCCACGUGUGGGUGUUGGAGAGUACCUGAAGAAAAAGCAUCGGCUAACUCCGUGCCAGCAGCCGCGGUAAUACGGAGGAUGCGAGCGUUAUCCGGAUUUAUUGGGUUUAAAGGGUGCGCAGGCGGGCUGUUAAGCCGGCGGGAAAAAUUCAGGGCUCAACCCUGUCGGGCCGUCGGGACUGGG
rnacentral:rRNA from 1 species